UGCUAAAUUUUGUAUAUUGUUAUCAAGAAAUGAGAAGAUUGAUAGUGUUAUUAGUGUUCUUGUUUUGCUAAAUUUUGUAUAUUGUUAUCAAGAAAUGAGAAGAUUGGUAGUGUUAUUAGUGUUCUUGUUUUGCUAAAUUUUGUAUAUUGUUAUCAAGAAAUGAGAAGAUUGAUAGUGUUAUUAGUGUUCUUGUUUUGCUAAAUUUUGUAUAUUGUU
rnacentral:lncRNA from 1 species